rnacentral:rRNA from 1 species
UCGGGAAUUUUGGGCAAUGGGCGAAAGCCUGACCCAGCAACGCCGCGUGAAGGAUGAAGUAUUUCGGUAUGUAAACUUCGAAAGAAUAGGAAGAAUAAAUGACGGUACUAUUUAUAAGGUCCGGCUAACUACGUGCCAGCAGCCGCGGUAAUACGUAGGGACCAAGCGUUGUUCGGAUUUACUGGGCGUAAAGGGCGCGUAGGCGGCAAUUCAAGUCAUCUGUGAAAUCUCCGGGCUUAACUCGGAACGGUCAGAUGAUACUGCUUUGCUAGAGUGCAGAAGGGGCAAUCGGAAUUCUUGGUGUAGCGGUGAAAUGCGUAGAUAUCAAGAGGAACACCUGAGGUGAAGACGGGUUGCUGGGCUGACACUGACGCUGAGGCGCGAAAGCCAGGGGAGCAAACGGGAUUAGAUACCCUAGUAGUCCCUGAGCGGGCUGGCAAGGCGCAU